UGGUGCUUGCACCUGAUUGAUUUUGGUCGCCAACGAGUGGCGGACGGGUGAGUAACACGUAGGUAACCUGCCCAGAAGCGGGGGACAACAUUUGGAAACAGAUGCUAAUACCGCAUAACAACGUUGUUCGCAUGAACAACGCUUAAAAGAUGGCUUCUCGCUAUCACUUCUGGAUGGACCUGCGGUGCAUUAGCUUGUUGGUGGGGUAACGGCCUACCAAGGCGAUGAUGCAUAGCCGAGUUGAGAGACUGAUCGGCCACAAUGGGACUGAGACACGGCCCAUACUCCUACGGGAGGCAGCAGUAGGGAAUCUUCCACAAUGGGCGCAAGCCUGAUGGAGCAACACCGCGUGAGUGAAGAAGGGUUUCGGCUCGUAAAGCUCUGUUGUUAAAGAAGAACACGUAUGAGAGUAACUGUUCAUACGUUGACGGUAUUUAACCAGAAAGUCACGGCUAACUACGUGCCAGCAGCCGCGGUAAUACGUAGGUGGCAAGCGUUAUCCGGAUUUAUUGGGCGUAAAGAGAGUGCAGGCGGUUUUCUAAGUCUGAUGUGAAAGCCUUCGGCUUAACCGGAGAAGUGCAUCGGAAACUGGAUAACUUGAGUGCAGAAGAGGGUAGUGGAACUCCAUGUGUAGCGGUGGAAUGCGUAGAUAUAUGGAAGAACACCAGUGGCGAAGGCGGCUACCUGGUCUGCAACUGACGCUGAGACUCGAAAGCAUGGGUAGCGAACAGGAUUAGAUACCCUGGUAGUCCA
rnacentral:rRNA from 1 species